rnacentral:lncRNA from 1 species
GUCUAAAAAAUGUAAAACUAAAAAGAAACUACCACAGAUCAGUCGUAUAAACAUAUAAAAAAAAUGCAUCACACAAGUCAACCACUAUGAAUAUUUGGUGUGUUAAACUAUUUAUUCAUAUCUCAUCCCUCACCAGUUGAUGAUAGUGCGAAAGAAUUCGUUAAGAAAUCUAACGUGAACUAAAAAUUAUGUUUGAAAUUAAAACCACAAACAAACAAAGUCAAGCGAUUAUUUGAAAAUUAAAAAAAAUAUAUAUAUCAAGUUCAUGUCUGCCUUAAUUAUGCUCACUCUUCACCCAAUGUUUUGAAAGCGAAAUGAAUCGGAUAUGACGGUAAUAAUAGUUAGUUACAAAAACUGUAUACUGUCAAAGCAAACAACCGAUUUCAAAAUUAAAAUUUUACGAGAAAUAUCAUUGAAAACAUGUAUAGAAGCGGGGUUUAUUAAAAUCAUGUGCAAAUUUUGUUAGGUCCCAAUCAGAAACAAUUUAGGUUAUAAGAAACUCUACUCCUAUGUCUCUUUUCAUAAAAAAAAAAUUAAAAAAAAAUGAUAGUCAUUCAAAUUGUAAGUGUUCGUGCCUUACGAGUAUUUCGUUUGUAUUCAUACGGGUUUAUAUGUAGAAAAUUUAUUUUACUAAAAAGAAACAUAUUUUAGUGCUUUCCUGCACAACAAAUGCCGAAGAGGAGCGUAAAAUGAUAGAUAUGAAAAUAAGAAGAUGUGGUAUGAUUACCAAUUCGACAACUCUCCACAGCAGAGACCAAUUAUGGGCCAAAGGUACGGUCUUCUUCAUUGUACAAAGAAAUCCAUAUGCUUUGGGUUUUAAAAAGAAUUAAGUACAUAUCGUGUUUUGUGUUUUGUGUUUAAGAGAUUAAAUAAUGUUUGUUUCUGUUAUCAAGAAUUAUUUAAUAAUCUUAUUUAAAAAUCAUUACUAAAUCAAUUAAGACAUUGAAAAAGUAAAAGCUAUUGUGUAGAAUCAUUCUUCCAGUUGGUUGAUGAAGUCUCACGUUUUAUUUUGUCCGUUUUAUGGACUCCCCCCCCCCCCCCUUUAUUUAAAAUUAACCUUAGAAUUAUACAUUGUGUCUGUCACUGAUAUUUUCACUUUUGGUAAGCUUAUUAUAUUUCAAUUCAAAAGAAUCAUGAGAUUCAAUUUACUUGUGCUAUUUAAAAGAUCAAGGUCAUGCACACUAGGAGGGAAAAGGUGGAACAUCGAAUCAUUCAGUUCGUAGAACCAAGUAUGUAAAAACCAGUUCUCCCAGCGAAUAGAAAAAGUUAAGAGCUAAUUAAUUUGACGGUGUAAUACCUUAAAGUAUUGUUAAUCAGCUUGUUACAACACUUCAGAAACACCUACAUAAAACCAAGAUUCUUUGAACGAAGCAAAACAAAUACACC